rnacentral:lncRNA from 1 species
GUGUAAUGUUUUUCUAUUUUAUUUUUUAAUGAUUAAAUUUUUCCCUUUCCUCUACAGAUUCGAGUACUGACGAUGCAUCAACCGAUAGCUGAUAAUAAUUUUUAUUCAUAGUUAAGGUUAGAAUAAUCAACUAAUGAGAUAUAUUUGAUUGUUUAUUGUGAUGGUUGUUGAUCUUGUAUUAUAGUUAUGGAGCUUUUGUUUACAGGAAUUCUCAUUUAACCAAAGAAGAUAUU